rnacentral:rRNA from 1 species
UAUGUGAUCGUCUCUCGCAUAUCAAUAAGCGGAGGAAAAGAAACUAACAAGGAUUCCCCUAGUAACGGCGAGUGAAGCGGGAAGAGCUCAAAUUUGAAAUCUUAAAGGGUUUCCCUUUACGAAUUGUAGUUUAAAGAAGUGUUUUCUGUUGAGGUUUUGGUAAAAGUUCUUUGGAAUAGGACAUCAUAGAGGGUGAGAAUCCCGUAUUUGACCUUUACUUUCAACUUUGUGAUACACUUUCAAAGAGUCGGAUUGCUUGGGAAUGCAGUCCAAAAUGGGUGGUAAAUUUCAUCUAAAGCUAAAUAUUGGCGAGAGACCGAUAGCGAACAAGUACCGUGAGGGAAAGAUGAAAAGAACUUUGAAAAGAGAGUUAAACAGUACGUGAAAUUGUCAAAAGGGAAGCGUUUGACACCAGUGUUGUUUUUCUGAAAAUCAAUUAAAGAACUGUUUAUGCUAAGUUGUUUAGACUUUAUCAGCUAACUGUUUAGUUUUGAGCUUUUCUUUAAUGCACUUUUCAGUUAACAAGUCAACAUCAAUUUCUUUUGCUGUAAAAAAGCUUGAGGAAGGUGGCUUGAGAUUCGUCUUAAGUGUUUAUAGCCUCUUGCCUAUGCAGUCGGAGAGAUUGAGGUCUGCAGCGUAGAUCCUUCGGGGCUAAAUGCAUUUGUGCUAAGUUAUAGCAUUCUAUAGACAACUUGUUGACUAUGAUUUGUCUUGUAGCUUACUCGCUUAUGUUAUUUUACCUACGCUUAGGAUGUUGAGUCGUAGAGCACGCAG